rnacentral:rRNA from 1 species
UACGUAGGGUGCAAGCGUUAAUCGGAAUUACUGGGCGUAAAGUGUGCGCAGGCGGUUUUGUAAGUCAGAUGUGAAAUCCCCGAGCUCAACUUGGGAACUGCGUUUGAAACUGCAAGACUAGAAUAUGUCAGAGGGGGGUAGAAUUCCACGUGUAGCAGUGAAAUGCGUAGAGAUGUGGAGGAAUACCAAUGGCGAAGGCAGCCCCCUGGGAUAAUAUUGACGCUCAUGCACGAAAGCGUGGGGAGCGAACAGG